UCCGGGUUGGACCCGGCGGUCCCGCCAGACAUGAUAACUGGCAGCAGGGGUUGCGCUCGUUGCGGCACUUAAGCCAACACCUCACGGCACGAGCUGACGACAGCCAUGCAGCACCUGUGCUGGGCCCUUACGGACACGGGCUUUCACCCGCUUUACCCAGCAUGUCAAGCCUAGGUAAGGUUCUUCGCGUUGCAUCGAAUUAAGCCACAUGCUCCGCCGCUUGUGCGGGUCCCCGUCAAUUCCUUUGAGUUUUAGCCUUGCGGCCGUACUCCCCAGGCGGAGUGCUUAAUGCGUUAGCUGCGGCACGGAGCGGGUUGAAGACCGCCCCACACCUAGCACUCAACGUUUACGGCUGGGACUAC
rnacentral:misc_RNA from 1 species